rnacentral:rRNA from 1 species
GACGAACGCUGGCGGCGUGCUUAACACAUGCAAGUCGAACGGAAAGGCCCCUUUGGGGGUACUCGAGUGGCGAACGGGUGAGUAACACGUGAGUAACCUGCCCUUGACUUCGGGAUAACUUCAGGUAACUGGGGCUAAUACCGGAUAGGAAUCCUUGCUGCAUGGUGGGGGUUGGAAAGCUUCGGCGGUUUUGGAUGGACUCGCGGCUUAUCAGCUUGUUGGUGGGGGAAGGGCCUACCAAGGCGUUGACGGGUAGCCGGCCGGAGAGGGUGAACGGCCAGAGUGGGAAGGAGAUACGGCACAGACUACUACGGGGGGCAGCAGGGGGGAAGAGUGGAAGAUGGGGGCAAGCAUGAUGCAGGGAGGCAGCGUGGGGGAUGAAGGUAUUGGGGUUGGAAACUAGUUUAGGUAGGGACGAAGCGUUUUUGUGACGGUACCUGGAGAAGAAGCAACGGCUAAGUACGUG